AGCACAACUACCUAAUGCAAAACCCCAUUAAUCUAAUCUCAAGCUGAAGCUCAAUCCCGACUGCAAAUGCAAUGUUGCAAGCAGUCCAUCUUAUCUCUAAAAGCGUUCCCGGUAUGCUUUUAGUCUGUUCUAUGUUCUUUCUUAAAACUUUUAACGUUUUGUUCCUCAAACGAUUUUGCAGUAGCUCACCGAGUGCGGGCCUGAUUGCUAUUUUGUUUGUAGUCUUAGCUUCAAGUAGUUUUAUUACAGAUUGGUUUCAGUCUUGAGGAUUAAUAUGCUCGUUUCUUUUUUAGCUUUAGGUGAACUAUUUCCGAUUGUAUAUAAAAGAGUAGUUCUUUAUUUGGUUUCAGUGUUGCAAAUAUUUUCCUUGGAUUCUGGGGACAUUUGUUUCUUGUUUGUUGCUGUGGAAGCUCUCUAAGAUUCCAUCUGUUUGGCUUCAUGUAUUUUCUGGAACUUUGUUGGGUUUUUCAUUUUUACAUCCAUUUGUUUGCUGGUAGGAACUGAGAUUGUUGCCCGCCAUCUAUUUGAUGAAAUGAUUUUAGGUCUGGCGUGGGAAAGAGAGGCGUCACUGUUGUUUGCUAGCUUGUGUUGUUAUUGGCUGCUUUUUUCUGCCAAACUGGGAUUCACUUCUUGGCCGUUGCUUGAUUGUACUGUUGUUUCUCUCUGUUUGGUUGUCUUUUUUUAACUUGCUUGUUUCUUGUUGCUUUAGAUGCUGAUAUUGUAUUCGAUAUUGAAUCCAUGUAUUUGAUGGCUUCUUUUUUUAUUUGAAAUCUAUUCCUUCUAUGGCUACUUCUCAGAGCUCUGAUCUUUGAUUUAGCAUAUAUUUGAGAAUAGAUGUGCUUCUUAAAUUAUUUUGCCACUGGAGUUUUGGUAAUGAUAAAAAAACUGCAUUAAUGAUAGUGGGGAUAGAGCUAGAUGUGUUUUUGGUUUUAGUAAGAGGUGUCUUAUGAGUCCAAGUAGGUGGCUGUUGGAGAGGGCACCUCAAGUCACAACAGUUGCCGAGGCUGCAUUUACAAUCACAUAAUUUUUAUUACUUCAUUUGCAAGUAGCUGGAAGGAAAGAAACUCUUUUAUAUCUAGAGUGGUGGGUUCAGAUCGAUUCUUGUUUGGCUUCCUAGUAGAAUGGUCAUUGGCAUGGUGGGUGGGUGUGAUUGUGGUAGGAUGCGGAGCAUUGGUGGUUUUGUGACUGUUCAAUUGCAUAAGAAAUUGUAUUGUUUCUUGUAUUUAAGAUCAUUCAGCAAAAUUGCCAAUAUUUUUCUUUUCUAUUUCUGUGCAAGAAAAGUUGUUAGACAGUGUUGAAGCAUUUUUUUUAUUGGUCGGCUCUCUCACAGUAAGAGUCAUGUUCUUGAAGUCCAUAAUUUUAUUCUCACCAAACAAAAACAACAAAAAUUUAUACGUUUCUGACUUCUGAUUAAUCUCCCUGUUUUUAUAU
rnacentral:misc_RNA from 1 species